UCUCUUGAACAGGUGUCUCAGCCUUAAGGGGUAGAUGUCGGGAAAGAAGCUGUCACCAUCACCAGGAACUCCUCAGUCCAGGUUGGAGGUUCCCCCAGAGCUGCGCUAUGUUACAGAAAGAAGGAAAAAGAAGGUACCUGAAGCAUGAUACAGUGCAUGUUCAGCCAUGCAGGACCUGGAUUUCCCAGCACACCUUUAACCACUUGUUGCAAAGGAUCCCAUCAGUACAUAUCUUCAAGUAUUUAAUGUCCAGUUUUUCUAAACAUGUAUGCUAUGACAAGAUCUAUGCAUUUAUGACUGAAGUCUGAAGCAGUGUGGCAAACUUCAUCCUGACUCAGUCUCCAACAUUUCCUCAGCCUGGCAGGAACCAAACAAGGAAGCUGUGCCAUCAGGAUAUAUACUAGAGGAUAUAAGCAGAGAACACCAAGAACGGACCAAGUGCACCAAGAUACCUAUCUUUAGUACCACUUAACACUGCAGGAGGCUUGCAGGACAGACAUAUCCUUCCAAGCUGCGAGUGAAGCCAAUGUGGGAAAAGCAAUGGAGUUACGGUUUGACCUGACUGUGAGGCUGAAGAGCCACAUGGUGGUUUGUGCUGGAACAGCACAGUGCAUUCAUACAUCUUUGUCCAUACAAACUAGCUUGCUCCUUAGAGAAAUUUUCAUUACUGUAAUGAUCUGCAGGGGGUGGAAGGGUUGGAGAUCUUUGCAUUGUAUUUUGUACAUUGUCUCCUCGGAGUGCUUUUUAAAAUUAGCAAUCACAUUUUUUCAUCAGAAAGGAAUUACAUACAGCAAGCUGCUAAUCAGGUUCCUCAAGUCAGAAGAAAUCAAGGAGAAAGUGCUUUAA
rnacentral:lncRNA from 1 species